UACAGAGGUGGCAAGCGUUGUUCGGAAUUACUGGGCGUAAAGGGCGCGUAGGCGGUCUUGCAAGUCCCGUGUGAAAUCCCUCGGCUCAACUGAGGAACUGCACGGGAAACUGUUUGGCUUGAGUUCGGGAGAGGGAAGCAGAAUUCCAGGUGUAGCGGUGAAAUGCGUAGAUAUCUGGAGGAACACCGGUGGCGAAGGCGGCAUCCUGGACCGACACUGACGCUGAGGAGCGAAAGCCAGGGGAGCAAACGGG
rnacentral:rRNA from 1 species